AUUAUCAUGUUCAUCUUGCCGUAAGUUUCUAAAGAAAAAGAAAAGAAAAGAGCUUUGAAGCAUUCGGCCAUUACUAAGCUCAAUAAAGAUCAUGAACCAAAGAAAACGGAUUUGGAUCGGGGAAAAACAAAAAUAAUCGAAUAGUCGUCUAUUCCGUCCGUCGAUAUCCGAGAUUUGGAAGUUGGUUAUGAGCUUGGCGAUCGUCAGAGAAGUCUAUCACACUAUCAAAUUUUCACCUUGUAGAAUUGUCAAGCCGGAUCAAUGAAGAAGCACACACUAUCUCGAGGUAGUAGUUAUAAUUCAUUUUGAACUUAGUGAUUUUCCAUAAUUCGGUGUAACAGAUUAAAUUCAUUUUCGUACUUGAAGAGCUUGAAUACAAACAAUUUUAGUAUGUUUUAUUUAUGUUUUCUUAGUUUAGUUUAAUUUUAAUAAAAAGUGUAUUUUGAGUCUUUUAUUGACCUUAGUGGCCGAAUGAGGCCUUAAGACGAGCUAACGUAUUUAGUGAGUGUGCAAGAGACCAUUCGAAGACAUAAGAACUUAAAACUUGUCGCUAGGUUUCAACAUGGGGAGAUUGAGGUCACGACAUAAUGAGCAAAAUGCCAGAACCACUAAAUAGCCAUAGAUGUCGCGACAUAGCCAAGGGACGUCAUGACACACCCCUGAAGCUACCCCUAAACUAUGCAUACUACCUUCGAUGUCACGACACAAGGACUAGGGUGUCAUGACAUCAAUCUUGUACGGGAAUCACUUACAAGCCAUGGGCGUUUUGGUCGCACAGUGGAAAU